rnacentral:rRNA from 1 species
AGGGCACCACCAGGGGUGGAGCCUGCGGCUUAAUUUGACUCAACACGGGAAAACUUACCUGGUCCUGACACUAGAAGGAUUGACAGAUUGAUAGCUCUUUCUUGAUUUGGUGGAUGGUGGUGCAUGGCCGUUCUUAGUUGGUGGAGUGAUUUGUCUGGUUAAUUCCGAUAACGAACGAGACUCUAGCCUAUUAAAUAACACACAGAAUCUUGUCUUCUGUGGCGUUUCUUAAUGGGAUCAAGUGUGUUUAACGCUUUGAAACAGAGCAAUAACAGGUCUGUGAUGCCCUUAGAUGUUCGGGGCCGCACGCGCGCUACAUUGAGAGACAAAAUGAGUUUUCUAGCCUUUAAUAAGGCUAGUAAUCUUUGAAUGUUUUUCUUAAUGGGGAUAGGGGAUUGCAAUUGUGCCCCUUGAACGAGGAAUUCCCAGUAAGUGCUAGUCAUUAGCUAGUACUGAUUACGUCCCUGCCCUUUGUACACACCGCCCGUCGCUACUACCGAUUGAAUGGUUUAGUGAGAU